UGUAAAAAUUUAAUUCAUUCGUAUUAUUAAAAACUGGCAUAGCUAAUUGAAGAAUAUGCUAGUGACACAUGUACCUCAUGUAGAUGUAUAGUGACAAAUUCUUAACAGCAGAAAUUGAUGAAAUUUUUAACA
rfam:Gossypium hirsutum cultivar TM-1 chromosome 13, whole genome shotgun sequence